ensembl:miRNA
GGGUUAGUGGAAAGGUGGUGGGCUGCAGAACAUGUGCUUCCUUCGUGUCAUAUGUCUGCUGACCAUCACCUUUAGAAGCCC